GCCUGACCUCGGAUCAGACGUGAUUACCCGCUGAAUUUAAGCAUAUUAUUAAGCGGAGGAAAAGAAACUAACAAGGAUUCCCCUAGUAACGGCGAGUGAACGGGAAGAGCCCAACACCGAAUCCCUUGGCGCAAGUCAACGGGAAAUGUGGUGUUAAGGUAGCCCUUCGUGUCAGUCUAGGCGUCUCAAGUCCACCUGAUUGUGGCUCAAGCCCAGAGAGGGUGUAAGGCCCGUAGAGACGCUCCGACUGAUUCCUGGGGUUUACCUACGAGUCGGCUUGUUUGGGAAUGCAGGCCAAAGCGGGUGGUAAACUCCAUCCAAGGCUAAAUACUGGCACGAGUCCGAUAGCGGACAAGUACCGUGAGGGAAAGUUGAAAAGAACUUUGAAGAGAGAGUUCAAUAGUACGUGAAACCGCUUAGAGGCAAACGGAUGGUGCUCAUACUGGCCUGAGGAAUUCAACUGUGACGGUGGCUGGACGAGCUGGCGUUCCGAUCUCUCUUUUGGGACGGGCGUCGGUUUGGCUAUCAGCUCCGACAUGGUGCACUUUCCUUGGUGCCUCCGCCACGACCGACGACACUGGCUACCCGCGGCUGGGGUAAGGUGACAAACUGCUUCGGCAAUUUGUGUUAUAGACCCCGGCGUCGGACAUGGUUUGGCCAGGACGUCGAGCUUGCGGCGCCCGCUCCUUGUGGGCUCGCAUGUUGGCUAGCUUGGCUGCGCCGAUGCUUGCACUGGACAACCAGUACAGGUGACGGUUGUGGUCUUGUCUCUAGUUGGCCUCUGCGAGUUUGGCGCCUAUAGUCUGUGGUGUACUUGUGGGUAGACUAUCCGACCCGUCUUGAAACACGGACCAAGGAGUCUAACAUGUGCGCGAGUCAUGGGGAUUCUACGAAACCCAAAGGCGCAGUGAAAGUAAAGGCCUGCUUCUCGUAGGCUGAGGUGGGAUCUCGUGCAUCGCGAUUGGCGAGCGCACCACCGGCCCGUCCUAUCUGUCUCUGUCAGUGGGGCGGCGCAAGAGCGUACACGUUGGGACCCGAAAGAUGGUGAACUAUGCUUGCGCAGCUCGAAGUCAGUGGAAACACUGAUGGAGGAGCGCAGCGUUUCUGACGUGCAAAUCGAUCGUCAAACGUGAGUAUAGGGGCGAAAGACUAAUCGAACCAUCUAGUAGCUGGUUCCCUCCGAAGUUUCCCUCAGGAUAGCUGGCACUCGGGAAACAGUUUUAUCCGGUAAAGCGAAUGAUUAGAGGCAUUGGGGUCGAAACGACCUCGACCUAUUCUCAAACUUUAAAUGGGUAAGAUGCUCGUCUCGCUUAAUUGGAGGCGGGCUUCACCUCUCUAUAAACGUGAAUGUGAGUGCCCAGUGGGCCAUUUUUGGUAAGCAGAACUGGCGCUGUGGGAUGAACCAAACGCGCGGUUAAGGCGCCCAAUGCGGACGCUCAUGAGACACCACAAAAGGUGUUGGUCGAUACUGACAGCAGGACGGUGGCCAUGGAAGUCGGAACCCGCUAAGGAGUGUGUAACAACUCACCUGCCGAAUCAACCAGCCCUGAAAAUGGAUGGCGCUGGAGCGUCGGGCCUAUACCGUGCCGUUGGGGCGAAGCAGACAAAUAAUCUGUGUGGAUGUCCCAACGAGUAGGAGGGUCGCCGUGGUGAGCGCAGAAGGUGCGGCCGUGAGGCCGGCUGGAGCCGCCACGGGCGCAGAUCUUGGUGGUAGUAGCAAUUACUCAAGUGAGAACCUUGAGGACUGAAGUGGAGAAGGGUUCCAUGUGAACAGCAGUUGAACAUGGGUCAGGCGGUCCUAAGCGAUCGGGUAACUCCGUACCUAGACGAGGGUGACAACUAUCACUGAUAAUACUGUGAAGUGUUAUAGCCCUCCGGAGCGAAAGGGAAUCGUGUUAAUAUUCACGACCCUUACCGUGGAGAUCGCCCCUUUCGGGGGGCAAGUGCGGUAACGCAAACGAACACAGAGACGUCGGCUGGAGCCCCGGGAAGAGUUCUCUUUUCUUUGUAAGGAGCGUACCCCCUGGAAUCGGCUUGUCCGGAGAUAGGGGCGUGGCUUCCGUAAAGCAGCGCGGGUCUUGCGCUGUCCGGUGCACUCUAGUCGGCCCUUGAAAAUCUGUGGGAGACAGUGUGAUUUUCACGGUAGGCCGUACCCAUAUCCGCAGCAGGUCUCCAAGGUGAACAGCCUCUAGUCCUAGAACAAUGUAGGUAAGGGAAGUCGGCAAAAUGGAUCCGUAACUUCGGGAAAAGGAUUGGCUCUGAGGGCUGGGUCGGAUGGGCUGGCGUAAGAAGCUGUUCCGGUUUUGGUGAGGACUGGGUGAGGCUUUCGGGCUUUACUCGGACCAUGCCGAGACCAGGCAGUAGACGACGUCAGCUGUGCUUGUCGUGUUUCGGCGCGGCAGCUUCGUCCGGCAACAAACAGCCAACUCAGAACUGGCACGGACUAGGGGAAUCCGACUGUCUAAUUAAAACAAAGCAUUGCGAUGGCUGUUGCUCGGUGUUGACGCAAUGUGAUUUCUGCCCAGUGCUCUGAAUGUCAAAGUGAAGAAAUUCAAUCAAGCGCGGUAAACGGCGGGAGUAACUAUGACUCUCUAUGUCCAGAGGUAGGAGGCAGGCCCCUCUCUGUGAUGCGGGAUGCAGGCAAAUUGAAAGGUUUGGGGCACAUUCUGCAAGCAGUGUAAUAGGACUUGGGAUAAGAGAGGGGCUAGGCAUGAUAGAAUUGUUGAGUUUGUUGGUAGUCAGGUGGAACGGCUAGGGUUCAAUGUUAUUAAAGGAGAAGUCUUUUGCGACUCCUAGGGGGGCAUAGACGACCUGAUCUAAUUAUAUAUAAUAAGGAUAGAGUGUGGAUUGCUGACGUCACGAUCUGUGCGGACAGAGGAGCGGGGCCUAUGGCCCUCGCGAGGGGACAACAAGAUCAAGUAUUAUACGGACGAUGAUCUAGCGACUGAGGUCGCGAAGGUGGCGGGCCCUGGUGCCCAGAGAGCGUUGUUGGCCUGGUUUGGAACUGGAGAGGGUGUUGCGAGAAGAAGACGGAUGAGUGGCUCAAGAAGAUGGGUGUGCCGAUCGAGUCUAGAAGGCUGGCUUCGGUCAGAGUGCUGGAAGGCUCGGUCUGGUGCGCGGAGGUGUUUAGAAAGAGAACUGGGAUAAAUUUCGCGCAGGUUGGUGGUCGCAAUCGGAGCGAGUAAGUGUCGUGUUUGUGGCUCCGGCGUUCGGUAACGUCCGGACCAGUUUCAGGCAUCCGCCCGGCAGUCCCGGCUGGUCCCAUGUAUAUGACGCUGCUC
rnacentral:rRNA from 1 species